GUCUUCUGAGAACCUAAAAUAGGCUCCUAAAGAGAAAUAAUUAUAAAUGUAGCAGUGGUGAGGACUUGAAGAUAAUAAAGACUAGAGAAGAAGGAAAGAGUUCAAGCCCUGACAGCAGAUGUGACUCAACCAACAGUCUGCAAAAGCAAAAGGCGCUUUGUUGAAAAAUAAGUUAUAGAGGCAGAUGCUCGAAGUCUACAUCUAUUGACUGAAAGAGGUCUAUGACAGAUUUGAUCAUAAACUUUCAUUUGAGAAAGCAAUGAAGAAAAGAAAAGAACCAUUGGUACUCUGAGAAGCCACAGCUUCUGGCAGAUGUUGCAAGGAUGAGCUGGAUCAUUGGCAUUUUUUCCUGGGCCCUUGGGUCAACUUUGAGUGGAGUUUCCAAUUGCACAAUGAGCAUCUGGACAGUUUUGACAUCUUUAUUACACUCUCUGAGUUCUUAAAAU
rnacentral:lncRNA from 1 species